rnacentral:rRNA from 1 species
CCUACGGGUGGCAGCAGUGAGGAAUAUUGGUCAAUGGCCGGAAGGCUGAACCAGCCAUGCCGCGUGAAGGUCAGUGCCCUUUGGGCGUUAAACUUCUUUUGUGCGGGAGCAAUAAUGGUCACGUGUGGCCAGACGAGAGUACCGUACGAAUAAGAAUAGGCUAACUCCGUGCCAGCAGCCGCGGUAAUACGGGGGAGGCAAGCGUUAUCCGGAUUUAUUGGGUUUAAAGGGUGCGUAGGCUGUGAGGUAAGUCAGCGGUGAAAUGCCCCCGCUCAACGGGGUGAAGUGCCAUUGAUACUGCCUUGCUGGAAUGCGGAUGCCGUGGGAGGAAUGUGUGGUGUAGCGGUGAAAUGCAUAGAUAUCACACAGAACACCGAUUGCGAAGGCAGCUCACUGGACUGCAACUGACACUGAGGCUCGAAAGUGUGGGUAUCAAACAGGAUUAGAUACCCUUGUAGUC